CAAGUCGAACGAUGAUGCCCAGCUUGCUGGGUGGAUUAGUGGCGAACGGGUGAGUAACACGUGAGUAACCUGCCCCUGACUCUGGGAUAAGCGUUGGAAACGACGUCUAAUACUGGAUAUGACUACCGGCCGCAUGGUCUGGUGGUGGAAAGAUUUUUUGGUUGGGGAUGGACUCGCGGCCUAUCAGCUUGUUGGUGAGGUAAUGGCUCACCAAGGCGACGACGGGUAGCCGGCCUGAGAGGGUGACCGGCCACACUGGGACUGAGACACGGCCCAGACUCCUACGGGAGGCAGCAGUGGGGAAUAUUGCACAAUGGGCGAAAGCCUGAUGCAGCAACGCCGCGUGAGGGAUGACGGCCUUCGGGUUGUAAACCUCUUUUAGUAGGGAAGAAGCGAAAGUGACGGUACCUGCAGAAAAAGCACCGGCUAACUACGUGCCAGCAGCCGCGGUAAUACGUAGGGUGCAAGCGUUGUCCGGAAUUAUUGGGCGUAAAGAGCUCGUAGGCGGUUUGUCGCGUCUGCUGUGAAAUCCCGAGGCUCAACCUCGGGCUUGCAGUGGGUACGGGCAGACUAGAGUGCGGUAGGGGAGAUUGGAAUUCCUGGUGUAGCGGUGGAAUGCGCAGAUAUCAGGAGGAACACCGAUGGCGAAGGCAGAUCUCUGGGCCGUAACUGACGCUGAGGAGCG
rnacentral:rRNA from 1 species